rnacentral:rRNA from 1 species
AGUGAACGCUGGCGGUAGGCCUAACACAUGCAAGUCGAACGGCAGCACAGUAAGAGCUUGCUCUUACGGGUGGCGAGUGGCGGACGGGUGAGGAAUACAUCGUAAUCUACUUUUUCGUGGGGGAUAACGUAGGGAAACUUACGCUAAUACCGCAUACGACCUACGGGUGAAAGCAGGGGAUCUUCGGACCUUGCGCGAUUGAAUGAGCCGAUGUCGGAUUAGCUAGUUGGCGGGGUAAAGGCCCACCAAGGCGACGAUCCGUAGCUGGUCUGAGAGGAUGAUCAGCCACACUGGAACUGAGACACGGUCCAGACUCCUACGGGAGGCAGCAGUGGGGAAUAUUGGACAAUGUGCGCAAGCCUGAUCCAGCCAUACCGCGUGGGUGAAGAAGGCCUUCGGGUUGUAAAGCCCUUUUGUUGGGAAAGAAAAGCAGCAGGUUAAUACCCCGCUGUUCUGACGGUACCCAAAGAAUAAGCACCGGCUAACUUCGUG